rnacentral:rRNA from 1 species
AGUCGAACGGGAAGAGAUGAAGAGCUUGCUCUUUAUCGAAUCCAGUGGCAAACGGGUGAGUAACACGUAAACAACCUGCCUUCAGGAUGGGGACAACAGACGGAAACGACUGCUAAUACCGAAUACGUUCCACGGGCCGCAUGACCUGUGGAAGAAAGGGUAGCCUCUACCUGUAAGCUAUCGCCUGAAGAGGGGUUUGCGUCUGAUUAGGCAGUUGGUGAGGUAACGGCUCACCAAACCAACGAUCAGUAGCCGGUCUGAGAGGAUGAACGGCCACACUGGAACUGAGACACGGUCCAGACUCCUACGGGAGGCAGCAGUGGGGAAUCUUCCGCAAUGGACGAAAGUCUGACGGAGCAACGCCGCGUGAGUGAAGACGGCCUUCGGGUUGUAAAGCUCUGUGAUCCGGGACGAAAGAGCCUGAGGUAAAUAGCCUGAGGAAGUGACGGUACCGGAAAAGCAAGCCACGGCUAACUACGUGCCAGCAGCCGCGGUAAUACGUAGGUGGCAAGCGUUGUCCGGAAUUAUUGGGCGUAAAGCGCGCGCAGGCGGCUUACUAAGUCCAUCUUAAAAGUGCGGGGCUUAACCCCGUGAUGGGAUGGAAACUGGAAAGUUGGAGUAUCG